AGUUAGGAUUAGGUCGUGGAA
rnacentral:miRNA from 3 species